UGGCUAAUCAAAUAUUUCAACACAAUCCCCUAAUUUACUAGACCUAAAUAACGCAUGCUAAAAGUAUAAAUAGGCCUAAAAUCCAAGCCCCAAAACCUACAAGAUUACAAUUAGCCAAAUGCCCAACAAAAAUCCUAGUCUGUUGAGAUAAAGGAACUUUGGAUUGCUGCCAAGGCCUUAGACUACAUCAGUAGAGGGAGGCUAUCAAGGUCGCUAAAGAAGAAGAUAAACAUGCCAACUGAAGCACUUAUUGACUAGAUACAGAGCUAGGCUUGCUCACUAUGUAUGAACUACAAAAGCCAACCACACAAAGGAGCACAACCAAAAUCUUCAUUCAAGCCAUGGAAGGGCAUGCAAAUAAUAGGUCAUCAACAAUCUCAGUGCUUUAAGGAUCGAUGGUCCAAGCCAAGAACGAACAAGUAAAAAGCCCUGACAGUCUCUAUAUCAAAGCUUAAACCAUGAAUCUUUCGCACAACCAAAGCAGAUUUACAAGUAAUGGAGGCACAUACAAAUGAAAAUAUUUGAAAAUGAAGCGUCCAAAAAAGGAAAGCCCCCUUUCCUCCCGGAGCAGGCAAGAGCCUAUUCUUAAAGAUUCUUUUGAUGAAGUCCAAAAACCUGCAUGCAAGAACGACAAAACGCAUCCCAAUGUAAUUUCCUCUCAAUGAGCUUAAAUAUGCAAAUAACCCAAUAAAAAAGUUUUAUUGAUUGUAAAC
rnacentral:lncRNA from 1 species